rnacentral:rRNA from 1 species
AGAGUUUGAUCAUGGCUCAGGAUGAACGCUGGCGGCGUGCCUAAUACAUGCAAGUCGAACGAAUCUUGGUGAAUGAAUUGGAGUGCUUGCACAAAGAGACAUUUACAAUGAGAUGAGUGGCGGACGGGUGAGUAACACGUGGGUAACCUGCCCUGAAGUGGGGGAUAACAUUUGGAAACAGAUGCUAAUACCGCAUAACAAUGAUAGUCACAUGACAAUUAUUUGAAAGAUGGAGCAAUCUAUCACUUCAGGAUGGACCUGCGGCGUAUUAGCUAGUUGGUAAGGUAAAGGCUUACCAAGGCGAUGAUACGUAGCCGACUUGAGAGAGUGAUCGGCCACAUUGGGACUGAGACACGGCCCAAACUCCUACGGGAGGCAGCAGUAGGGAAUCUUCCACAAUGGACGAAAGUCUGAUGGAGCAACGCCGCGUGAGUGAAGAAGGGUUUCGGCUCGUAAAACUCUGUUAUUGGAGAAGAAGGAUAAGGUAAGUAACUGUACUUUAUUUGACGGUACCCAACCAGAAAGUCACGGCUAACUACGUGCCAGCAGCCGCGGUAAUACGUAGGUGGCAAGCGUUAUCCGGAUUUAUUGGGCGUAAAGCGAGUGCAGGCGGUUUUAUAAGUCUGAUGUGAAAGCCCUCGGCUCAACCGAGGAACUGCAUCAGAAACUGUGAGACUUGAGUGCAGAAGAGGAGAGUGGAACUCCAUGUGUAGCGGUGGAAUGCGUAGAUAUAUGGAAGAACACCAGUGGCGAAGGCGGCUCUCUGGUCUGUAACUGACGCUGAGGCUCGAAAGCAUGGGUAGCGAACAGGAUUAGAUACCCUGUAGUCCAUGCCGUAACGAUGAGUGCUAAGUGUUGGGGGGUUUCCGCUCCUCAGUGCUGCAGCUAACGCAUUAAGCACUCCGCCUGGGGAGUACGACCGCAGUGAAACUCAAAGGAAUUGACGG